GCACUCACUUUGGCAGCACAUAUACUAAACUUGGAACGACACAGAGAUUAGCAUGGCCCCUGCACAAGGAUGGUGUGCAAAUUCAUGAAGCGUUCCAUAAUUUA
ensembl:snRNA U6 U6 spliceosomal RNA